UACGGGGGGGGCAAGCGUUGUUCGGAAUUACUGGGCGUAAAGGGCUCGUAGGCGGCCAACUAAGUCGGACGUGAAAUCCCCAGGCUCAACCUGGGAACUGCGUCCGAUACUGGAUGGCUUGAAUCCGGGAGAGGGAUGCAGAAUUCCAGGUGUAGCGGUGAAAUGACGUAGAUAUCUGGAGGAAUACCGGUGGCGAAGGCGGCAUCCUGGACCGGCAUUGACGCUGAGGAGCGAAAGCCAGGGGAGCAAAGCGGGG
rnacentral:rRNA from 1 species